AUGUCGCUGCAUCAUGUCGCUGCAUCCUUCAUUGCGUCCUGCCGCUGCGUCAUGUCGCUGCAUCCUGUCGCUGCAUCAUGUCGCUGCAUCCUGGUGCUGCAUCCUGUCGCUGCAUCAUGUCGCUGCAUCCUGUCAGUGCGUCAUGUCGCUGCAUCCUGUCAGUGCGUCAUGUCGCUGCAUCCUGUCAGUGCGUCAUGUCGCUGCGUCAUGUCGCUGCAUCCUGUCGCUGCGUCAUGUCGCUGCGUCAUGUCGGUACAUCCUGUCGCUGCAUCCUGGUGCUGCAUCCUGUCGCUGCAUCCUGUCGCUGCAUCCUGGUGUUGCAUCCUGUCGCUGCAUCAUGUCGCUGCAUCCUGCCGUUGCAUCAUGUCGCUGCAUCCUGUCGCUGCAUCCUGGUGCUGCAUCCUGCCGUUGCAUCAUGUCGCUGCAUCCUGUCGCUGCGUCCUGUCGCUGCGUCCUUUCGGUGCGUCAUGUCGCUGCGUCAUGUCGGUGCGUCCUGUCGCUGCAUCCUGGUGCUGCAUCCUGUCGCUGCAUCCUGGUGCUGCAUCCUGUCGCUGCAUCCUGGUGCUGCAUCCUGUCGCUGCAUCAUGUCGCUGCAUCCUGGUGCUGCAUCCUGUCGCUGCAUCAUGUCGCUGCAUCCUGCCGCUGCAUCAUGUCGCUGCAUCAUGUCGCUGCAUCCUGUCGCUGCAUCCUGGUGCUGCAUCCUGCCGUUGCAUCAUGUCGCUGCAUCCUGUCGCUGUGUCCUGUCGCUGCAUCCUGUCGCUGCGUCCUGUCGCUGCGUCCUUUCGGUGCGUCAUGUCGCUGCGUCAUGUCGCUGCGUCCUGUCGCUGCGUCCUGUCGCUGCAUCCUGGUGCUGCAUCCUGUCGCUGCAUCCUGGUGCUGCAUCCUGUCGCUGCAUCCUGGUGCUGCAUCCUGUCGCUGCAUCAUGUCGCUGCAUCCUGCCGCUGCAUCAUGUCGCUGCAUCAUGUCGCUGCAUCCUGUCGCUGCAUCCUGGUGCUGCAUCCUGCCGUUGCAUCAUGUCGCUGCAUCCUGUCGCUGCGUCCUGUCGCUGCGUCCUUUCGGUGCGUCAUGUCGCUGCGUCAUGUCGGUGCAUCCUGUCGCUGCAUCCUGGUGCUGCAUCCUGUCGCUGCAUCAUAUCGCUGCAUCCUGGUGCUGCAUCCUGUCGCUGCAUCAUGUCGCUGCAUCCUGCCGUUGCAUCAUGUCGCUGCAUCAUGUCGCUGCAUCCUGUCGCUGCAUCCUGGUGCUGCAUCCUGCCGUUGCAUCAUGUUGCUGCAUCAUGACAGACACUUUAUUUCAACACCACAGAGACUGAAACUCCUGGAGUUUCUCCAGCUGCCUCUCUGCUGA
rnacentral:lncRNA from 1 species